UAGAUGUUUUCCAAAAGUUUCAGGUUCACUUUGCAUUUCAUGUCAAACUUUAAGAUGUCAAUUUAAUGUUACAAUUUUAACGCAUUUCGCCGCUGGGCCAAGUAUAAGUUGUAAAUUCGGAAACUGGCCAAAGUAAGUUGUUGGAGAAGUUUUAUGUGCGCACUGCAGCCAAGUAAGGCCAAUGGGUGGGGGGAGGUGGCUGCCACCCCCACAGUGCUCCAACCUAAUCCCUGCCAUAAAUUGCUCAAGAUAUUAAGCUUGACUUGCAGUUUGCCUCAACCUAAUGGCUAAUAAUGAAGCAUUAUUAAAAACGUUAUGGCCAUGCACCGAGGGAGGGAUCAGAGUUCAUUGCUUGCACUUUUGCUUGUUGACAUUUAAGACUACUUAAUGUCUGUCCCGACUGUACGCUCCAAUAAUGCAACAACAUGGGGCAGCUGACUGCGGGACUUAAAGCAGCCACGGAGCUCUAGCAGCGAAUGGACAGUUUUGAUAAGGAAUCUUGAAGAGUAGUGUAGCUGUAAGGCAGCCUGAUAUCGCCUCAAUAAUUAAUGGGGAAACAAGGGCAAUUAACGAUGUUGGAGAUUCGUAAUCGAUUCGCGCAUUUGCAGACGACGCAGACGUCGCAUAAAUUGUUAAUAGUCCGCCCUCUGCUGGGCCCCACCCCUUUGGCCACCCGCGGGCGUCCCCAACUCUUACCUUGGGCGAGAACAGACACGCAAUCGUCACGCUGGCAGACAGGCUAAUGGUCACUGACAUGCUCGUUAUGCGGAGCGGCACGUGGUUGGCGGUGCCGAAGUAGAGCGGCACAAAGGCCAGCCAAAUGACGCAGGUGGUGUACAUGGUGAAGCCUGGAACGAAUUAGCAGAUUGAAUGGGCAUUAAGGGCAAGGACUAUUAUAAUUUAAUCGCGGCUUGUAGCAACAUCCGCUGCCAUUAAUAAUAAACACUAGACAGACAAAAAGGAGCAAAAAUAAAGUAGAUAAAAGUUUACACAAAUAUUUAAUAUAAACUUUAAGAUUCUACCAAAAUUUAAGAGCCAUUCACAGGCAGGUGUGCAUUAAAAAUAAGUAUUAUUACUCACC